GACGAACGCUGGCGGCGUGCCUAAUACAUGCAAGUCGAGCGCAGGAAACUGACGGAACUCUUCGGAGGGAAGGCAGUGGAAUGAGCGGCGGACGGGUGAGUAACACGUAAGGAACCUGCCUCAAGGAUUGGGAUAACUCCGAGAAAUCGGAGCUAAUACCGGAUAGUUCAUCGGACCGCAUGGUCCGCUGAUGAAAGGCGCUUCGGCGUCACCUUGAGAUGGCCUUGCGGUGCAUUAGCUAGUUGGUGGGGUAACGGCCCACCAAGGCGACGAUGCAUAGCCGACCUGGGAGGGUGAUCGGCCACACUGGGACUGAGACACGGCCCAGACUCCUACGGGAGGCAGCAGUAGGGAAUCUUCCACAAUGGACGAAAGUCUGAUGGAGCAACGCCGCGUGAGUGAUGAAGGUUUUCGGAUCGUAAAACUCUGUUGUAAGGGAAGAACACGUACGAGAGGGAAUGCUCGUACCUUGACGGUACCUUACGAGAAAGCCACGGCUAACUACGUGCCAGCCGCCGCAGUAAGAC
rnacentral:rRNA from 1 species